AAGUGGGAAAAACGUCUUCCCAGUGAACAGCGGGAAGGCCUGAUGGUACCACAGGAGGAAGCACCGGCUAACUCCGUGCCAGCAGCCGCGGUAAUAGGGAGGGUGCAAGCGUUGUACGGAAUUACUGGGCGUAAAGAGCGUGUAGGCGGCAAAGUAAGUCAGGCGUGAAAGCCCUGGGCUUAACCCGGGAAGUGCGUUUGAAACUGCCUCGCUCGAGUAUGGAAGAGGAGAAUGGAAUUCCCGGUGUAGAGGUGAAAUUCGUAGAUAUCGGGAGGAACACCCGUGGCGAAGGCGACUCUCUGGACCAAUGCUGACGCUGAGACCGCGAAAGCGUGGGGAGCAAAUAGGAUUAGAUACCCUGGUAGUCCACGCUGUAAACGUUGGACACUAGGUGACUGCGGGUAUCGACCCCUGCGGUGCCGUAGCUAACGCGUUAAGUGUCCCGCCUGGGGACUACGCGCGCAAGGCUCAAACUCGAAGGAAUUGACGGGGGCCCGCACAAGCGAUGGAGCAUGUGGUUUAAUUCGAAGCGACGCGCAGAACCUUACCUGGGCUUGAAAUCUGUCGUCCGCCAUGGAUGCAUGGUUUUCCCUUCGGGACCGGGGUAACAGGUGCUGCAUGGCUGUCGUCAGCUCGUGCCGUGAGAUGUUGGGUUAAGUCCCGCAACGAGCGCAACCCUUGUCGCUAAUUGAUACCAGUUCGGCUGGGCACUCUAGUGAGACUGCCGGUGUUAAGCCGGAGGAAGGUGGGGAUGACGUCAAGUCGUCAUGG
rnacentral:rRNA from 1 species